UCCUAAGUGGGGGGCGGGAGAGCAGUGAGAGGAAGGAGGGAAACUCCAGGGUGUGACUCUGGAGCUCCAGGGAGAAGAGCUGCAGCAAGCAGGCCCUCCCAAAGUGAAGCAGCAGAGAACCUGUCUGAAGCCUGGCAGGGACAGAGUGGCUGAUCGGGGACACCCCAGGACAGGAGUCAGGAGAAGCACUGUGGGAAUUGCCAGAGAAGGACAGGCUGCAGCUGGACCCAUGCUGCAUGGGGCUCAGCAAUGGCUUCUGAGGCCCUGAGCAACUGCCUGAAGUUCAUAAAAAUAGAAUAGCCUAAACCCAGCUGAAGGAUCAGCCUGAACUAGGUAUUACGCUAUCUCUGAAGAGGACCCAAGUACAACAAAGAAAAUAUUUGGCCGAAGGAUAUUAGUUUGCUCUUCUAGACUGAUGAGUACUUUUCGAGCCAGGUUCGUUGUCGGAUAGCUCCAGUGAAGAUUCCAAUAAAUUACAUAAAUAGGAGCAAAGCACACACCCUUCUGUCCAAGGCUUCCCAGCGCCAGGGAGUCCGCCACAGUCCCCGCGACUGCGAGUCUUAGACGUCUGGGUUACAAGACAGACAGCGCCGGGCGGCGACCGAUUUUUCCGGGAUUCAGGGUGGGAGGAAUUAUUCGGCCAAGAAAUCGUCCAUGUGAGCAGAUUUUCAAGCGAUACUUAGCUGUAACCUCAGCUCUGGAGACACUGGAGGUGGCUGUAUAAUGGCAUGCAUAACGAGAGAUCUUUUGGAUGGAAUGUUUGUAUUGGCCCUGGAGAUCAUGUCAUACAUGGACUCUCUUCUGUGUCUUAACUUGACAAAUCAACUGCUUCAUGUUUGGUGUCCCAGUAUUAGAAACUAAGCAACACUCAGUUUAUUUAACGUGAAACGUGUCCCUGGUUGUGUUUUAUAUCGAAAGGUGUGUAAGUGACGUUAAAAUUAUACCGAUUUCUUUCUGAAAUAAGUGCUAUAGGGUGUUCUAAAAAUUGCCUUUUAAUUGUCUCUUUAUGAAAUAUUUUUGUUUUUUAAAUGUAUUAUAAUUAAAUAUAUCAAUGCUGUCAGAAAACAUCAAGUGUCCUUAAACA